GUCAAGGAGCAUCUAUCCCUGGAGAGGUUGGAACCUGUAGGAACUAUUGUCCGAGGCAGGGCCUGGAGUCUGUGAUUUCUGGGUCAUUCCUGAUGCCUGACAGCCCCACCCCCCAGAUUCUGUGAAGGACAAGGACCUCGUCCAAGGUCGUCCCUUGGGGACUCCAGCUGCCCCAGUUGUGCAGCAAUCAGAGCUGGCUGGCUCUGUGCCGCCAUGUCCGCCCACCUGCCCACAUCUGCUCUGAGUCACCGAUACCUCGGCCAAAACAGGAAUGCGGGGGCCGCGGAAACAAGGCCAGCAGUGAGGGAGGCAGGGCCAGCAGCCUUCACAAUUAUCUGGGCAAUUAAAGCAGGCAGAUGGUCCUGCCGGACUGAGCAUUCAAGCUGACAAACGGAGACAGCACGGGGCAUUAGCUGAUGAGAUCAGCACGGGUUCCGGUGGCAGCGAUGUG